rnacentral:rRNA from 1 species
CUACGGGCCGCUGCAGUGAGGAAUAUUGCACAAUGGGGGGAACCCUGAUGCAGCAACGCCGCGUGGAGGAUGACGCAUUUCGGUGUGUAAACUCCUUUUAUAUGUCAAGAAAAUGACGGUAGCAUAUGAAUAAGCACCGGCAUAACUCCGUGCCAGCAGCCGCGGUAAUACGGAGGGUGCAAGCGUUACUCGGAAUCACUGGGCGUAAAGGACGCGUAGGCGGGUUGGAAAGUCAGGUGUGAAAUCCUACAGCUUAACUGUAGAACUGCACUUGAAACUUCUAAUCUAGAGUAUGGGAGGGGGAGAGGGAAUUAGUGGUGUAGGGGUAAAAUCCGUAGAUAUCACUAGGAAUACCUAAAGCGAAGGCGAUCUCCUGGAACAUUACUGACGCUAAGGCGUGAAAGCGUGGGGAGCAAACAGGAUUAGAUACCCUAGUAGUC